CAAUAAGUCGGCUUUCAAUUUCAAUUAGCGAACUUUCCAUACAAUUAGUGUCUAAAUUAUGCACACUCAGCUCUGUCCGAACACCAUACGACAAUAUGUGUAAUUGUAGCCGCUAAUUAAAACCAGAGCUCAAGCCCAAUGUUUAAUGCAAACAAUGCAAAUUGCGCAUACGCCGCGUGAGCCAUUGAACUUGUCGUCAGUCAGUGCUACUCAAUCCACGGCACACGCCAUCUGCCGGAGGUUUCGAUAAUUACGGGCAAUCCCGGGCUGCCUCACAGGGAACCCACUGGAUACCGCUUCCCAACUGAUGAUUAUGAUGAUGAUGAUGGUGAGGCCUAUCGUGCAAUCAUAAUUAAUUAAACAUUGUUUUUAACAAUUUCCGUGUCAAGAUUGGUUGCUGUAAACUUAAUUGUUGCUACAGCAAGUGCAACAUUUUGAUGGUUUCCUGUGAGAAAGCCAAUUUUCUAGCCCGCCACCAUUGUUAUCCAUGAUAACACCACAUGGAAAUUAAGUAGUAACACUUUUUAAAGAAAUUGAUUCCUAAAAAAAGAAUUGUUCUUAUUUAAUAAAUAUUUACCAGCUUAUACUUACCAAAACCUCU
ensembl:ncRNA lncRNA:CR44313 long non-coding RNA:CR44313